CCCCAACUUGAAUAUGGAAGAGGAGGAUGGGAAAUAGCAGUGUCCAAAUUGUGCUGUGUCCAAGGACAAGUCUGAUGUGCAUUGUUGUGUAGGUCGUGUAGUAAUUGCAAAUGCAAUGAUUCCACCCAUGUAAGCGAGUGUGCAGGGCGUGCAGAGACCCCGUGGGCACCCCUAACCCUAGCGGGAGGGAGCUGCACGACAGCACCCCAGGCAUGCACACUCAGCUCUGGGAGGAGCACCCUGGGUGCUGGGCCCAAUCAGGUCUGACUUGGCCUCCAGAGAGGCAAGCGGCUGCCCUGGCUCAGGCUGCCCAGCUUUACAGGGGCCUCCCGCCUGACAGCUCUGAGUCUGAGCCAGCUUCUUCCCUGCACAAUUCCAUCUAGUUCCACAUGCAAAGGUCUCGAGCUAAAGCCUGAAGCCUCGGGAUUUCCCGAGUUGACCCAGCUUGCCGUGAGCUGUGACGUAGGUUGAAGAUGCAGCUCAGAUCCUGUGUUCCUGUGGCUGCGGCGGAGCCCGGCAGCUGUAGCUCUGAUUCGACCCCUAGCCUGGGAACUUCCAAAUGUCUCAAGUGCAGCUCUAAAAGGCAAAACAAAAAAAAACGAGGUCUCGUAUUAUUUUUUACCUUUUCUGUGCUUGCCCUCCUAACGCUCCAGCUCAAGGUGACUUGAGGGCACCUGCACUGCCAGGCUCAGUGGGAAGGCAGUGCCUGCCUUUGGCUAUUCAUCCAUUGAGUACUUGAGGUCCUCUUGAAACUGUGAGACACAGGCACAGCCUCUGCAGACGGGGCCAUCUUCAUGUGCAUUACAUUUGUCAGUCACCAGGGCUCUGGGCAAAGAAGGGCAGGGUUUGGUGGAUGCUGGACUGACCUGUCAUUUGGCUGAGAGCACUAGGUACUCAGAAGGAAUAUGGGCACAGACCUGGCCUGUGCUUCUCCUGCCUCGGCUUCUCAAAGCUUCAGGUGGGCGUCAGAAGCAGCUGGCAUUUUCAGCCUCAUGGAGCCUGCUUACCUGACUCUUGGUCAGCACGGAUCACAGGCCUUAGGCAGAGGGCAAACCCCUUAUCCAGCUCUGGUCCCUCCACCUGUGCCUCUACCUGCCCUCCUACAGCCUGCGUCUCUCUAGAAAGCUCUGCUGAAACUGGGGACAAGUAACCAAGGCUUGCCAACAUUCUGAACAAUUCUGAACUGAUUUCUCUAGGGCUGUAGUUUUAUUUAUUUAUGUAUUUAUUUUUGUCUUUUUAGAACCACCAGCAUGGCACAUGGAAGUCCCCAGGCUAGGGGUUGAAUCAGAGCUGCCAGCCUGUGCCAGCCCCAGCGGAUCCUUAGCCCACUGAGUGGGGCCAGGGAUUAAACCCGCAUCCUCGUGGAUACUCAUUGGGUUUGUUACCGCUGAGCCAUGACGGGAACUCCCUAGGGCUGGCUGUAGUUUUAGUCGCAUGUAGUCUACACCUAAUACAUCACAGCAAGGGUCACAGCAAAGUUCUCCACCUGUAAUGCCCCUGCCCUCCACCUGAUCAUUAGGCCAGCUCUUCUCUUCAGGCAUAGGUUCUGUUUUGGCACCACUGUGUUCUCAGCUGCUGUCAAGAGGCUCUAAACCAGCGCUGGCUUCAGUGAGGCAGAAAGCUAUUUCUGUCUCCUGCAUUAGACCACACGGCUGUGGUGGUCGUCGUCCCGAAGAUGGAGGGGCACAGGCCCUUCCACCCGAGGGCUCCCCCUGCCCCAGCGCAUAGUCACUGCUUCAGCCCCUGGGACACGAUGAGAUGAGACCUGGAAGACACACACGUCCCUUCCGCCCGCGGCCCACAUGCCACAUCUCAUGGCCGCGCAGCUGGAAACAUCGUCUUUGCUUGAAUGGGCAAGUGUCAGCUAACAUCCCAUGUCUGAAAAGGACAGGAGGAACGGAAAGCAGGAGAGAAGGACCAGCAGGCUCUGCACAUCCACCAGGGGGCAUAACACGGUGAACACAAAGCCCGGCAGCAACAUCAGAAAACAGAAAACACACUGAUAGGUGUCCGAGACAUCUCAAUAAAUUAGAGGUCCAUCCAUCUACCACCUAUGACAGUAAAAAUGCCACUCUCUCAUGAAUUAGUUAGGAUUAAAUAAUUUUAUUGCAAGCUUGAUAAAAAACACUACUUCUCAGCCAACCUAAACUGUCACAGAAUAAGGUAAACAUGCUGACACAUUGGGACAGCCAGUGCCCACGAGGUGGUGACGUCCUGACCACCCUGACGCGACCCCGAGGCCCACGAGGAGGGCGGGGCAGGGCCUGGGUGCACACAGGCUGCCGUAUCCCAUGCAAAUGUGCUUUCCACUGGGCACGUUAUGCUGUGUUUUUGUCCUGGACUUCUCUCAGUUUUUCCCUCAUUAUGAAGUUUUCCACUGUACAUAUGAAUAAAACCUUUUGCUUUAUUCUGAUAACACCACGUUAUCAGAUUUUGCUGACAAACAUGGCUGCCAUGAGCAUCUGGAGACACAUCCCCUGGUGUUGAUGGAAGGAUCUGCUGCGUGGAUGUGGAGUGGAGGUGGGUUCUGGGCUAUUGCAUCUUCAUUAAUGAUGCCAAGUUAUUUUCCAGUGUGUUGUUCCAACUUCACUCCUAUCCCUACAUGAGAGUAAUUGUUGCUGUACAUUUUUUGAAACCUCAUUAUGGCCAAACUGCAUUUUGCAGCUGGUUAAGUAUAUCCCCAGUGCUGUCAGCACUGAACCCCACUCAUCUGUAGGGCUCAUGGCCUUAGAUGCAGUGUAGACACCCUCACCCCAAGCUUCGUAGGGAGUUGGAACCUCGCUUGUUCAGAUACCCCAGCAUCUCUGUGCACCGUCUCAGAGCUGCCCCCACCCCCCUGCUCACUCUGAGCCUCUGUCUGUACCAGCCUCCACCUGACAUGAUGCUCCAACACUUGGGGGCGUGGCCAUGCCCAAGGCUGGUGCUGCCAAGACCACCAGAGCCCCCAGGCCAGGUUGCUCAGGUGGGGGCAGGACUCGCCCAGACCAAUUCUGGUGCCUAUUCUCCUGCAGAGCUGGCACUGGCAGGGUGCCCAGAAGCUCUGCUAAGCUGUAGGAACUUUCCAGCCCCUGCCCAUUCACAAGGCCCUCCUGGCCUCUGGCUGCCCCUGUGAGGGCGGCUAUCUACAUGGCCUUCUAACGCCCCCAUACGCUAUUCAAGGACCUGCUCUUGCCCACCUAAUAAGUACAGUGGCCCCAUUCUGCUCCUCUGGACACAGCCAACUGGACAGGCACUGACAUCCAAACCAGGGGGGCCUCAUUUACUGGAAUCCUACAGGUCCAUGGGUGCGUGAGUGGACACCUGACCACAGAUUGGCUGGGGCCUCUCCUUAAAAUACAAAUCAAAGUACUAAGUUCCCAGCCUUUUUCCGGCAGGUCUCUCAGAAGCAGCAGAUAUGAACCCAGGCAUUGUGGUGGACAGUUUUUCAUCCCAGCAGACUGUGGCCCUGAGAAGGUAAGUCUGGAGGGAAACCAGCAUCCAGUUUGGGGCGAGAAAUCCAGAAAUUGUUCCGGUUCCCAACUCCAGCUGUCUCCCCACCUGGGUUCCCCGAGAUGUGCUGGGACCCCGCAGACGAAGCUCCUUGUCCUUGCUCAGGUCAUCUGAGGUAGGUGUCUGUCACUGGUGCACGCGACCAACCCCUCCAACUUCCAUCCUGCAGUUUCCUUCUGGCUCCACCUUCAGAUACACAGAAGACGCUGCACGUAUGCGGCUUUAAGGUGGAAAAAACUCAGUUUGGUCCUGCUGCCUGGAGAGCCAGGCCCUCAGUAAUCAGGAUCAAGGGGAGCGGCCUGAGUCACUCGCCCCUUACUGCUGCAUGAACAUAAAGGCGUAAUGGGAUCCCCCCACUACCUUUCAGUGCUUGAAACUCAAAUAAACCUUAGAGUUGGUGGGGAAAGAGGAAAUAUCAACUAACACAAUAAAGCAGUAGGGCUGGCACAGGUGUGACAGCACUGGGAGAGAGAAAUGUCACCUCAUGAGCAGCCGCUCCAGGGACCUGAAAGUACCCUACUCACUCCUUCCCACAGGGAUACACAAUAAGCAGACCAGCUAGAGCAGCAGGAACAGGCGUCUUCAGAACAAGCCUGAGACAGAACGAGGUCUGAGCAGAGCUUGACCUCCUGGAUGUCAAAACUGUCCUAGGCACAGUCGGUCUGCUUGUUUCCAGGACCUUCUGGGUGACAACGCCUGUGCCACCAGUGGGCCAUGGUGGGGAUCUUGGAAGGUUGUACAUGUGCUGGCCCUGGCAUAAAACUCUCUAGAAGUAGCUUCUUUUCAUCGGUUGGAAAAACCAGAACGACCUUCUCAACGGCAUCGAAGCUCCCAGGUCUAGAAGCCAGGAGGCGCCAUGCAGGUGAGUGUGCGACUGCAGCUCAGAGGCUUUGUGCCAUGAGGAGACAGCCCUGCUCCAGGCAGUACUGGCGCCUCCAAGCCAGGUGAGGCCAGGUAAAUACAAUUCAAUACAGUUGGUGCAGGAAUUACUCAAAGACAUCUUAGCUACACAAUCUAAAACAGAGAAUUAGAAAUAAAAGCUGAGGUUCUCAAUUAAGUAAAUUGUCCACUGUAUAUAAAGAUGAAAAUACAGACAAAACCCCAACUAUUUCCUCCUGAUUUGGCACUCGACAGGCCUCGGUGAGAACCCUGCCAUGACUUCCUAGUCCUCCUGUCUCUGAAAGGAUGCCAGAGAGAUGCUUGCGGCAAUAACAGUGAGUUUUCUUUUUCUUCCUGAAAGUUCUUUCUUCUCAAGCAGAAGUUGCGACUGGAUUAAAAGCUCUGAGGCCCUACUCAGCCUGAAGCUGGGAGAGCCUGGGAAGGGGCUUCCAACACAGCCUAGGGGUUCAGGUGCCACCUUGGGAAAAGACAGACAUUCCCUCUUUUUGGGAUACUGUGACUGGGCAACGAGUGAAGUCACAAGCCAGAGACUCCCAACUCAACCAUUUUCCAAUGUUACUUUGUUGAUAACACAUCCAGAAGAUAAACCUACCAAACCAUAUUAAGUAAAUCAUACAAUUUCAAUGGGCCAGAAUUACUCAACCCACAGGAAAAAAGAAAAACCAGCCCAGAAUUAGUCAGCUGGGCCAGCCUUGGGGCUGCAAGCUCUCUGCAAGCAGUGCCUAAACUCAGGGGGGCCAGGGUGCAGUGGGGGCCCAGCAGGCAUCUGAGCCCCAACAGGGCAACCUCUGUGCCUGUCUCAUCAAGAGAGCAUUAAGAGGAAUGCCGACUUCACUGCUCCCAUUGUGGUGCAGCAGUAAUGAACCCGAAGUAUCCAUGACGACAUGAGUCCAAUCCCUGGCCUCGCUCAGAGGAUUAAGGAUCUGGCAUUGCCAUGAGCUGUGGUAUAGGUGACAGACGCCGCUCAGAUUCUGUGUUGCUGUGGCUGUCGUGCAGGCCGGCAGCU
rnacentral:lncRNA from 1 species